GACGAACGCUGGCGGCGUGCCUAAUACAUGCAAGUAGAACGCUGAAGGAGGAGCUUGCUCUUCUGGAUGAGUUGCGAACGGGUGAGUAACGCGUAGGUAACCUGCCUGGUAGCGGGGGAUAACUAUUGGAAACGAUAGCUAAUACCGCAUAACAGUAGAUGUUGCAUGACAUUUACUUAAAAGGUGCAAUUGCAUCACUACCAGAUGGACCUGCGUUGUAUUAGCUAGUUGGUGGGGUAACGGCUCACCAAGGCGACGAUACAUAGCCGACCUGAGAGGGUGAUCGGCCACACUGGGACUGAGACACGGCCCAGACUCCUACGGGAGGCAGCAGUAGGGAAUCUUCGGCAAUGGACGGAAGUCUGACCGAGCAACGCCGCGUGAGUGAAGAAGGGUUUCGGAUCGUAAAGCUCUGUUGUAAGAGAAGAACGAGUGUGCGAGUGGAAAGUUCACACUGUGACGGUAUCUUACCAGAAAGGGACGGCUAACUACGUG
rnacentral:rRNA from 1 species